CACGGGGGGUGCAAACGUUGCUCGGAAUCAUUGGGCGUAAAGCGCACGUAGGCGGCCUAUUAAGUCGGAUGUGAAAUCCCUCGGCUCAACCGAGGGCGUGCAUACGAAACUGGUAGGCUCGAGUAUGGAAGAGGGUCGCGGAAUUCCCGGUGUAGAGGUGAAAUUCGUAGAUAUCGGGAGGAACACCAGUGGCGAAGGCGGCGACCUGGGCCAAUACUGACGCUGAGGUGCGAAAGCGUGGGGAGCAAACAGG
rnacentral:rRNA from 1 species